AUGAGUUGUCUUGGACUCGUGUCUGCCAGCAGAUCCCCCGACUUUUUGUGCGGCCGACUGCUGGCGCCGUGUCCCAUCAAUCUUGCGGUUAUAACCWUUCCGCUCGACCCACAAGUGCUUGCAUGCUGGUACCCAAGUUGGGAAGUUGCCUUGUACAGUGUUGCCUCACGGUGGUCGCCCAAGGGCGUUCCGCUGCGGUCUAGUAGUUCUUUCGGUGUUGCCUCUUUGUGCCGGCUCUAUAUGUGCUCGGUGCUCUCAAGGCUACAUUGUUUGCGCUAUUGGUCUCGGAUGUUGCAAAUGAUAAAGGCUCGUGUCCAGUUGGCGUCGUGUCCCUAAAGAAAGCUCUCCCGAAUUACGACUGGUCUUGGCAUAGGUUUGUUGCCCCUUCCGUGUUUAUCUGGAAUAGCGUGUGCAUAUCUCCGUGCCGGACAGAACGUCGAUGAUGAGGCGUGCU
rnacentral:misc_RNA from 1 species